rnacentral:lncRNA from 1 species
AUGAAAUUAAGCAGUAGCCCACCUGGCGGAAGCCACCUCUAGGGGACGUGUCCCUGACUGAGCCUGGGGCUGCACGAGUCGCAUUCGCGUGAGCUUCUGGCUCCGUUCCUCUCAGAGAAGAGGGAAGCAGCGGCCGCGCGCAGCCCGCGGGCGGGAGCGUCCCGAGCGGUGGAGGCGCGUGCAGCUCGCGCCGGGGCAGGCGGCGUGCGGGGCUCGGCGGCGAGGGAGCAGCAGCGGCCGUGCAGACCGGGAGCCCCAGUGCUCAAGUGGAUUGCUGUGUUAGUAAGAGCUUCACACCAUCCAGGCUGCCAAGUGGAGAGCUUGUGUGAUCCAGUCACUAGGAUGUCUUGAGGAUGAAGUAGGAUUUGUCAUUUUUCUUAAAUCUUCCUGGCACACCAGUAAGGCCUCUUGGUUCAGAGAGUGCAACUGUGAAAGCUGAACCCUCCCAAGCAGAGCAAUGUGGAGCAGAGGAAGCACUGCAAACUCUAAAAGGUAUUUGGCUACACUGUACUACCCACUUUUCCCGAAGCAAUGAGUGCUAUCUUGCUUUCCACAAAAACAGCUCCUCUCCAGGUUCUUGCAUGCUUGCAUUCCCUCAUUCAGGGACACCUGGAUUCUCUCAGUACCUCUCAUUACUUCCCAAUCUUCAUCAGAAGAUUAUGUUAAUUUAGAUUAUGA